GACGAACGCUGGCGGCGUGCUUAACACAUGCAAGCCGAACGGAAAGGCCCUGCUUUUGUGGGGUGCUCGAGUGGCGAACGGGUGAGUAACACGUGAGUAACCUGCCCUUGACUUUGGGAUAACUUCAGGAAACUGGGGCUAAUACCGGAUAGGAGCUCCUGCUGCAUGGUGGGGGUUGGAAAGUUUCGGCGGUUGGGGAUGGACUCGCGGCUUAUCAGCUUGUUGGUGGGGUAGUGGCUUACCAAGGCUUUGACGGGUAGCCGGCCUGAGAGGGUGACCGGCCACAUUGGGACUGAGAUACGGCCCAGACUCCUACGGGAGGCAACAGUGGGAAAUAUUGCACAAUGGGCGGAAGCCUGAUGCAGCAACGCCGCGUGCGGGAUGACGGCCUUCGGGUUGUAAACCGCUUUCGCCUGUGACGAAGCGUGAGUGACGGUAAUGGGUAAAGAAGCACCGGCUAACUACGUG
rnacentral:rRNA from 1 species